AUUGAACGCUGGCGGCAUGCUUUACACAUGCAAGUCGAACGGCAGCGCGGGCUUCGGCCUGGCGGCGAGUGGCGAACGGGUGAGUAAUGCAUCGGAACGUGCCCAGUAGUGGGGGAUAGCCCGGCGAAAGCCGGAUUAAUACCGCAUACGACCUGAGGGUGAAAGCGGGGGACCGAAAGGCCUCGCGCUAUCGGAGCGGCCGAUGUCGGAUUAGCUAGUUGGUGGGGUAAAGGCUUACCAAGGCGACGAUCCGUAGCUGGUCUGAGAGGACGACCAGCCACACUGGGACUGAGACACGGCCCAGACUCCGACGGGAGGCAGCAGUGGGGAAUUUUGGACAAUGGGGGCAACCCUGAUCCAGCCAUGCCGCGUGCGGGAAGAAGGCCUUCGGGUUGUAAACCGCUUUUGUUCGGGAAGAAAUCCUCUGGGCUAAUACCCCGGGGGGAUGACGGUACCGGAAGAAUAAGCACCGGCUAACUACGUG
rnacentral:rRNA from 1 species